UAAGGGAGGAUAAUCUAGAGAUGAUUUAAAGUGUACAGGAGGAUUGUGUAGUUAUAUGUAAAUACCACUCCAUUUUAUACCAGGGACUUGAGCAUCUGCAAAUUUUGGUAUCUACUGGAAGUCCUGGAACCAAUCACUUCCUAAUACCAAGUGACAACUGUAUAUUUUUUUCUAUUGAUUUGUAGGAGUUCUUUAUAUAUUGUGGAUAUGAAGUCUUUUUUCAAAUAUAUGUAUUUUUGAAUCUCUUCUCGCACUGUCUGCCUGGCCUUUUCACUAUCUGAAUGGUGACUUCUGACCUUCUUAACUUUAACGUAGAACAAUUUAUCAGUUUUCUUUAUUGUUAGAACCUAACUACUUACCGUUUAAGAAAUCUUUUCCUACUCCAAGGUCACAAAAAUUUCCUUUAUAUUUUCCUCUAAAAGCUUUAUUGUUUGCUUUUCCCAGUUGGAUCUGAAAUCUAUCAGAAAUUGAUUUUUCUGUAUGGUGUUCAAAUACAUUUUGUUUCCCACUGGGACAGCCUAUCAACCCAGCCUUUAGAGGCCAAUCCUUUCCUUGCCACACCACAAAGGUGGCUUUCCUUUAAAAUAAGACACCUGCAUGUGGGGUCUGUUUCUAGACCCUGUUUUGUUCCAGUGGUCACUUUGUCUAUCCUGAUGUUUCCAAAUUAAAAAUGGCUUUCUCUUUCUUAUCCUUCCAUUCAUUGCAGAUGUAUUAGGUGGUGGAGAGAGAGGGAUUUUCUUUGGAAUUGAGAAGAAAUGGAAUUGAAUUUCAGCUUAGUGGGUGGUGCUUUGUAUAUUCCAAGAAAAUGCAGAUAUUUUGGGUUUGAGGGAUGUUGCUAAUUUUAACUCCUAAGUAUCUGGUGACAAGGUCAGAACUGACUAAAAGGAAGAGGGUAGAGGGCUGUAUCUGUUUGCCUGCAUAUUUAUGCACAGAUGCAUGUGUGUAAGUCUAUUUCGGGAAGAUGACUUGUAUCAGCAUGGGAGGGAUUUAUGACUAGACCUCCAAUGACAUCAGUUUCUUUUAUUGCCUCAGGCAAUUAGAUGUUGUUGUUAUUCAUCUAACUAAUGGAGAGCAAUGACCAAAAGGACAUAUGUUAAAGUUAAAUUUUAGCAAAUGUGUACCAAUGUUGAUUACAGCAGGAGGGUCAAAAAAACAGAGAACAGCCCAGGCCUAUGCUUGUUACAAGGAAAACAAAAGUCUGUGAAAUCAAAAGACUUGGGUUGAUUUCCUAACCUUAUAUCAUUUGUGGCACUCUAAGUGUGAAUAAAUGUUCUUUACAGACUGCUAAAAAUGUCCUCCAAAAUGUUCAUCUUAACUGAAUAACACAAGUAAGAGUGUUGCUUGUCAUCUACUUUGAAUCAAUCAAUGCAGACCUCACCCAGGACAAAGUUUAGAACUUUCUCCACAAGGUUAAAAACAGUACUCAUGGCUGGGCACAGUGGCUCAAGCCUGUAAUCCCAUCACUUUGAGAGCCCGAGGUGGGCGAAUCACCUGAGGUCAGGAGUUUGAGACCAGCCUGGCCAACAUGAUGAAACCCCAUCUCUACUAAAAAUACAAAAAUUAGCCGGGCGUGAUGGUGGGCACCUGUAAUCCCAGCUAUCGGGAGGCUGAAACAGGAGAAUAGCUUGAACCCGGGAGGCAGAGGUUGCAGUGAGCCGAGAUUGUGCCACUGCACUCCAGCCUGGGUGACAGAGUGAGACUCUGUCUCAAAAAAACGAAAACAAAAACAAGAAAAACAUAGUACUCAUGCAAGGUAGAUAAAAAUCUGUUGCAUACACUCUACAUGGCUUCACAAUGGCAUUUUAGCACUUUGAGAUACGCUAGUUUAAAAGCUUAAAACCAUAGAAAUCUUAUUCUACAGCCUGUUGGUCUGUUGUUUAGAUUUAAUUUAUAUUUAAUUAGAUAUAGGGUCUACGAUGGUUUGGUAAAAACAAUGAUCAUUUGGUAAAAUAGAAAGGUUAAGCUAUUAGACUAUGACUAUGACGUUAAUAGAAAUGUGUGCCAUGUCUGUGGGUUCUGUCUGUCUCUCAGUCUCUCUAUGUCUCUUUCUGUCUUUCUCUGUCUUCAUAGCUGGGUGUAUUGCAUUUUUUCCUCCAACAGAGUUAGAAAAACGGAAGAAGAUUGAAUGAAGGAGAAUCUUAGUGUUCCUGGUUCAGACUCAGACACAGAUGCAAGGGCAGCUGAAUGAGGAUUACAGGAAUCUGGGGAAGGGGAAGGCUUGAAAUCCUAUUUUUGAAUGCGGCAGAGUGCAGAAUGGAGAGCUUGUUUUCCUUAAGAAAGUCCUGCUGCGGGAUGACAGCAGUGGCAGAGGAGGGCUUGCCACAAUCAGCAGCUUCAUAGGAACUGGAAGGCGCUGUCCUUGACUGUUUCUGAAUCUUUGCAAAUCCGAAGCAACGCCUGUCUUCAAAAGAGGAGGCCGACCCUUUCAGCGAAGCAGGGACUGAACUAGCGCAGGUCAAAACCGGUGUGUCUGCUUUGGUUGUGAUACAACUUAACACGUUCUUUAACUUCAACCUUGGACCUCAUUUUAUUAUUAAAAACACUAAAAGAAAACUUUCUUUUGUGAUAUCAGGAAAUUCACUUUUUGUGCUUCAG
ensembl:lncRNA novel transcript